UCCUGGUUAACCCAGGCAGUCUGAUUAGAGUGCCCAACUUAAUGCUGGCAACUAAUCAUAGGGGUUGCGCUCGUUGCGAGACUUAACCCAACAUUUCACAACACGAGCUGACGACAGCCAUGCAGCACCUCUCACUACAUUCUCUUGCGAGCACCCCACCGUUUCUGGCGGGUUCGUAGGAGUUCAAGCCCAGGUAAGGUUUUUCGCGUUGCUUCGAAUUAAACCACAUAAUCCACCGCUUGUGCGGGCCCCCGUCAAUUCCUUUGAGUUUUAGUCUUGCGACCGUACUCCCCAGGCGGAGAACUUAAUGCGUUAGCUGCGUUACCGCGGGAGUCAAUACCCACAAUAACUAGUUCUCAUCGUUUACGGCGUGGACUAC
rnacentral:misc_RNA from 1 species